GUGGCCACAAUCUAGAAGCACUCUUAUCUAGAACACAGUAUCCCUGCCAAUCUGACUGCUUGGACUGCUCCUCUCCCAUUUAUAAGCACUUACUAUACCUGUUGCAGCUCAGUCAAUCACUUACAUGGAAAAGUAACAGAAAAGUUGACAUGACUACCCCAGGAUGGGCUUUUCAUAGGAGAUAUAAGUGAGUAGGUGUCUGACUUCCACUAAAUUUCAGUGAGAUUUGGGUGCUUAGCUCCCAUAGACUCCUUCAAAAAUCCCUGCCUGAAGAUUCAGAAUCUUGCCCCUGCUCCCCAGUGGCUGGCCACAGGCCUUGCAUUUCCCCCCGCAGAAACUGCAGUGGGAGCAAUUGCACCCCUAGUGAAAUGACAUUAAUAAGAACACUUAAGUGAAUUUUCAAGGAAUUGAAGGCAUUUCCAGAAGAAAUUCUAGUUCUUGCCUGUAGGCUAGCUUCUCUGCUAGUAUACAUCAGCAUUUACUAGAGCAGUGGCAGACUGAAAAUACUGAAGGCAAUUUGUAUUGUGGAACCCUUCAAAGACUCUGCCAUCUCUUCUUUCCCGGAGGAGAGAGAGAACUCUGGAUCCUGCUGGAGCACCGACUGAGAAUGAUGGGCUGCGCUGGCGUUAUCAUCAAUACAACCUAUCCUGCUCACCUACCACCAUACAAAUCAGUCAAAUAAAAACAACAUGACUCAA